rnacentral:lncRNA from 1 species
UAACAUAGCCGGCGGCGGGAGACCUCCCCGCCGCAAAUGCCGCCGUGCCCGUCGCCCGAAGGAAGAUAAAAUGAGUCCUCAUGGUGCCAGAAGUUCCGAAGAAGGUGCUGCAGUUUUCUGUCAUUAAAGAUGUUUUCACUUCCUCCCGUGGAUAUUUCGUUAAGGUCUGAUUCCCUUUCUUUUCGUCAGUCCUCAUUCUUCAUUGAUGGUGCAAUUGCUCAAUUCACAGAUCACUAUAUCAAUUCAUUCAACUGUACAGAACUGAAUCAUGAUUGUUUCUUCGUUCUACACUUCUGUUGAAUACGUGAUCAAUAUAGUAGUUUUGAAUACUUGUGCUAGCCUAGCUUUUUCAGUCAAUCAUCGUGUCACCAUUCUCUUAUUCGUUGUUUAAGUUGAGUUGCAGUCAUAGUUUACAGUUCUUGGUUCUUAAUUCCAUCUGUUGAAUUGAGUUUAUAAUCUAGCAAUGCAAUGCUGCAAGUUUCUUGAGCUAAAUGAAAUUCAAGAGUACUGCUACAUAAUCUAAAUAUGAAACCAGCUUCAAGGACAUUUCUUAUUCAACCUAAUGGGCUUGCAUAUUUAGGCGUGGUUGCAGGAGAAUACGAAACAUCAAUGAAACAUAUUCUAUUAGGGACGUUACAGUUUGCAGCUUGACAAAUCAACAUCCUUCUUGUCUCUUACAGAUACAAGCUCCUCCAACAAUGAUUUCAAAUCAGAGUAAGACGAUCCCCCUUCUUCAUUAGCCUUCAUAGCCUUUACCUUAAGCUCCAUAGCUCGCUCUCUCAUUUCUUCAGCAUGUUCACCAACCAUGAUCUCCC